rnacentral:rRNA from 1 species
GACGAACGCUGGCGGCGUGCUUAACACAUGCAAGUCGAACGGAAAGGCCCUGCUUUUGUGGGGUGCUCGAGUGGCGAACGGGUGAGUAACACGUGAGUAACCUGCCCUUGACUUUGGGAUAACUUCAGGAAACUGGGGCUAAUACCGGAUAGGAGCUCCUGCUGCAUGGUGGGGGUUGGAAAGUUUCGGCGGUUGGGGAUGGACUCGCGGCUUAUCAGCUUGUUGGUGGGGUAGUGGCUUACCAAGGCUUUGACGGGUAGCCGGCCUGAGAGGGUGACCGGCCACAUUGGGACUGAGCUACGGCCCAGACUCCUACGGGAGGCAGCAGUGGGGAAUAUUGCACAAUGGGCGGAAGCCUGAUGCAGCAACGCCGCGUGCGGGAUGACGGCCUUCGGGUUGUAAGCCGCUUUCGCCUGUGACGAAGCGUGAGUGACGGUAAUGGGUAAAGAAGCACCGGCUAACUACGUG